AAGGAUUUAAGUUAAACAAAACUUUCAGCCUUCAAAGUUGAAUAUAGAUAUAAUCUAAGCCUUA
rnacentral:tRNA from 1 species